UACGUAGGGUCCGAGCGUUGUCCGGAAUUACUGGGCGUAAAGCGUGCGCAGGCGGCUUUCCAAGCGCCACGUGAAAGCCCCGGGCUCAACCCGGGAGGGUCGUGGCGAACUGGGAGGCUUGAGGCCGGUAGAGGCGAGUGGAAUUCCUGGUGUAGCGGUGGAAUGCGCAGAUAUCAGGAGGAACACCAAUAGCGAAGGCAGCUCGCUGGGACGUUACUGACACUGAGGCGCGAAAGCGUGGGGAGCGAACAGG
rnacentral:rRNA from 1 species